rnacentral:rRNA from 1 species
UUAAGCGACUAAGCGUACACGGUGGAUGCCCUGGCAGUCAGAGGCGAUGAAGGACGUGCUAAUCUGCGAAAAGCGCCGGCGAGGUGAUAUGAACCUUUGACCCGGCGAUGUCCGAAUGGGGAAACCCAGUGCAAUCCGUUGCACUAUCGUUAACUGAAUACAUAGGUUAACGAGGCGAACCGGGGGAACUGAAACAUCUAAGUACCCCGAGGAAAAGAAAUCAACCGAGAUUCCCCCAGUAGCGGCGAGCGAACGGGGAGCAGCCCGGAGUCUGAAUCAGCUUGUGUGUUAGUGGAACGGUCUGGAAAGUCCGACGGUACAGGGUGAUAGUCCCGUACACGAAAGCACANUGCUGUGAACUCGAAGAGUAGGGCGGGACACGUGGUAUCCUGUCUGAAUAUGGGGGGACCAUCCUCCAAGGCUAAAUACUCCUGACUGACCGAUAGUGAACCAGUACCGUGAGGGAAAGGCGAAAAGAACCCCGGCGAGGGGAGUGAAAAAGAACCUGAAACCGUGUACGUACAAGCAGUGGGAGCCUCUUUAUGGGGUGACUGCGUACCUUUUGUAUAAUGGGUCAGCGACUUAUAUUCUGUAGCAAGGUUAACCGUAUAGGGGAGCCGAAGGGAAACCGAGUCUUAACUGGGCGUUAAGUUGCAGGGUAUAGACCCGAAACCCGGUGAUCUAGCCAUGGGCAGGUUGAAGGUUGGGUAACACUAACUGGAGGACCGAACCGACUAAUGUUGAAAAAUUAGCGGAUGACCUGUGGCUGGGGGUGAAAGGCCAAUCAAACCGGGAGAUAGCUGGUUCUCCCCGAAAGCUAUUUAGGUAGCGCCUCGUGAACUCAUCUUCGGGGGUAGAGCACUGUUUCGGCUAGGGGGCCAUCCCGGCUUACCAACCCGAUGCAAACUACGAAUACCGAAGAAUGUUAUCACGGGAGACACACGGCGGGUGCUAACGUCCGUCGUGAAGAGGGAAACAACCCAGACCGCCAGCUAAGGUCCCAAAGUCAUGGUUAAGUGGGAAACGAUGUGGGAAGGCACAGACAGCCAGGAUGUUGGCUUAGAAGCAGCCAUCAUUUAAAGAAAGCGUAAUAGCUCACUGGUCGAGUCGGCCUGCGCGGAAGAUGUAACGGGGCUAAACCAUGCACCGAAGCUGCGGCAGCGACACUAUGUGUUGUUGGGUAGGGGAGCGUUCUGUAAGCCGUUGAAGGUGUGCUGUGAGGCAUGCUGGAGGUAUCAGAAGUGCGAAUGCUGACAUAAGUAACGAUAAAGCGGGUGAAAAGCCCGCUCGCCGGAAGACCAAGGGUUCCUGUCCAACGUUAAUCGGGGCAGGGUGAGUCGACCCCUAAGGCGAGGCCGAAAGGCGUAGUCGAUGGGAAACAGGUUAAUAUUCCUGUACUUGGUGUUACUGCGAAGGGGGGACGGAGAAGGCUAUGUCAGCCGGGCGACGGUUGUCCCGGUUUAAGCAUGUAGGCGGAGGUUCCAGGUAAAUCCGGUACCUUGUUAACGCUGAGGUGUGAUGACGAGGCACUACGGUGCUGAAGUGAUAAAUGCCCUGCUUCCAGGAAAAGCCUCUAAGCAUCAGGUAACACGAAAUCGUACCCCAAACCGACACAGGUGGUCAGGUAGAGAAUACCAAGGCGCUUGAGAGAACUCGGGUGAAGGAACUAGGCAAAAUGGUGCCGUAACUUCGGGAGAAGGCACGCUGAUAUGUAGGUGAAGCCCCUGCGGGCGGAGCUGAAAUCAGUCGAAGAUACCAGCUGGCUGCAACUGUUUAUUAAAAACACAGCACUGUGCAAACACGAAAGUGGACGUAUACGGUGUGACGCCUGCCCGGUGCCGGAAGGUUAAUUGAUGGGGUUAGCGGCAACGCGAAGCUCUUGAUCGAAGCCCCGGUAAACGGCGGCCGUAACUAUAACGGUCCUAAGGUAGCGAAAUUCCUUGUCGGGUAAGUUCCGACCUGCACGAAUGGCGUAAUGAUGGCCAGGCUGUCUCCACCCGAGACUCAGUGAAAUUGAACUCGCUGUGAAGAUGCAGUGUACCCGCGGCAAGACGGAAAGACCCCGUGAACCUUUACUAUAGCUUGACACUGAACACUGGUCCUUGAUGUGUAGGAUAGGUGGGAGGCUUUGAAGCGUGGACGCCAGUCUGCGUGGAGCCAACCUUGAAAUACCACCCUUUAAUGGCUGGUGUUCUAACGUAGACCCGUAAUCCGGGUUGCGGACAGUGUCUGGUGGGUAGUUUGACUGGGGCGGUCUCCUCCCAAAGAGUAACGGAGGAGCACGAAGGUUGGCUAAUCCUGGUCGGACAUCAGGAGGUUAGUGCAAUGGCAUAAGCCAGCUUGACUGCGAGCGUGACGGCGCGAGCAGGUGCGAAAGCAGGUCAUAGUGAUCCGGUGGUUCUGAAUGGAAGGGCCAUCGCUCAACGGAUAAAAGGUACUCCGGGGAUAACAGGCUGAUACCGCCCAAGAGUUCAUAUCGACGGCGGUGUUUGGCACCUCGAUGUCGGCUCAUCACAUCCUGGGGCUGAAGUAGGUCCCAAGGGUAUGGCUGUUCGCCAUUUAAAGUGGUACGCGAGCUGGGUUUAGAACGUCGUGAGACAGUUCGGUCCCUAUCUGCCGUGGGCGCUGGAGAAUUGAGGGGGGCUGCUCCUAGUACGAGAGGACCGGAGUGGACGCAUCACUGGUGUUCGGGUUGUCAUGCCAAUGGCACUGCCCGGUAGCUAAAUGCGGAAGAGAUAAGUGCUGAAAGCAUCUAAGCACGAAACUUGCCCCGAGAUGAGUUCUCCCUGAGAC